GCCUGGUCUCCCCGCUCGGAGCGAGCAGUCUGCGCUUGUGAAGGCGAGGCUCGAGGCCGGCGACAGACCCCUCGGCGACAGAGGGAGGUUAGGGUGGCGGCAGCCGCUGUGUCUGGGGCUCUGUUUGGGAGACGAAAGGCAGAAAGCUGGCCCCAGUCCUCCAUGACGGACUGGCACCUCUCCAGGUACUGGCGGUGUAGCUCCAUGACCUGCUGGGAAAUGUAGUUCGGCUCCAAAUAGCCAACGGGUGACCGCCAGGCGCGGCGGUUGCGACGGGGCAGUCCCACUCCCAUCCCACCCACACCCCACCCCUGCGGCUCGGCCGGAUGUGGGCUGUCUCUGGGACCGGAAGAUCUGAGCGAGGCGGCGGCUGUUUCCGCCAGAGCGUCCAGUGUGGGUCAAAGGACUGCAGAGGCGACGCGGAUCUGGCAGGUGAUAUAAAGGCAGCGAGACAUUCUGACCAGUGUUUGCUCUGCCGCUGAAAACCACCCAGGCUGCUCAAGACGUGAGCGGGAUCUCCCUGAGGACGUGGAUUUACUCGCAGCCUGACCCCUAGGAGAGUCGAUGGCACACGCCUUUGGGAGCUUUGGCUAUGCUCACCCAGCUCCAAAGACCUGAGCGGCAGAAAGGAAUUGCUCGGCCAGUGUCACUGCGGUCAUUGGGAAACCCGGGACUCCUAAUCCUCAGGUCACAACACACUGGUCCAGACCCAAGUUCUUUCUUGCACCUCCGCCCCACCCCGUGAACAGCCCGAAGUCGUGCUGCAGGAUGCAAGGGCAUGGGACCUGCUUACCUGGGUCAGUCGCCUUGUGGAGCUCCUCUGCCAGGAAGUUCUGGUUGAUGGCCCUCAGGACCUGCAGGGUGAGCCGCACGGCACACUCUUCCCCAUAGUGGGUGAUCAGCAGGGUGGCCAGCCUCACUGGCCUGGCUUUCUGGAGCUGGCCCCGGGGGAUCCGGGAUUGAUCCUUCUCCAGGCUGGUGUUCUGGAGCUUAAACUUGAACCUCUCAAAGUCGUUGGGCACCAGCCCCUCCAGGGAGUGCAGCAGAUGGUCACUAGGGGUCUUGAUCAUGGUGUUGACCAGGAGAGGCCGGAGCCAGAUGUCUGAAACAGCUUCUGUCCUGGAGCCCAGAGGGUUUGGAGAGGGCUGGGAGGGCACAACGCCUUUCCAGACACAUGGUCCUCCAGACGUCCCACCCCUCACCUCCACAUACCGGCCUGCAGAGCAUCGGUAAGCUCUACAUCCAACUUGAACUCAGCUGAACUCAGAACUCUUGAACCGGCGCUUGAACUCAGAACCCGGCGAUCAAAAGUCACAUGCUCUAUGGACUGAGCCAGCCAGGUGCCCUAAACACAUAUUUUGGACACCAUGCCAGGAUGCUGGAGAAAGAAGGGUGAAAAAGGCAUAGGUGUCCUUUGGAGCUCAUGGCCCAGUGUGGGGUUCUAGAAGUCGCUCCAGAGCUAAUGCAAGUCGUAUGUGUGGUGAGCUGACUUCUGCCACAGUUAACUGCUUCUGUCUUUCUGCUUUCUGUCUUUCUGAUUUUUAUCCCCAACUUUUUGUUUUGAAAAAUUUCAAACCUACGGAAAAGUUGAGAAGAGUUACCUGGAUUCACCAACUGUUCACAUCUUACAGUACUUGGUGAUUCUCUCUCUUACAUACACACAUGCAUGAACUUUUUUUUCAUUUUUUCCCCCUCUGAACCAUUCGGUAAUGAAUCUCAAACAUUAUCAGAUAUUACUCCAAAUACCAGAUACCCUAAGUACUAAGAACGAGGAUAUAAGGAUACUA